UACGUAGGGUGCGAGCGUUGUCCGGAAUGAUUGGGCGUAAAGCGUCUGCAGGUGGCAGUUCAAGUCUGCUGUCAAAGCCCGGGGCUUAACUUCGGAAAGGCAGUGGAAACUGAACAGCUAGAGUAUGGUAGGGGCAGAGGGAAUUCCUGGUGUAGCGGUGAAAUGCGUAGAGAUCAGGAAGAACAUCGGUGGCGAAGGCGCUCUGCUGGACCAUAACUGACACUCAGGGACGAAAGCUAGGGGAGCGAAUGGG
rnacentral:rRNA from 1 species